GUGAAUCAUCAAAUCUUUGAACGCAAAUUGCACUCUCUGGUAUUCCGGUGCGUAUGCCUGUUUCAGCGUCAGUUAAAAUGACAAUCGGUCUGUUUCCUGCCUUUCGUGGUGACGCACCGGAUCUGGGUCGUCUUGUGUCCGGUUAAGUGGCUUAAAAUUUUCCUUACUUUUCUCGGACGUAUUUAAAUGAUUUUACUUUCACAUGCGUUU
rnacentral:misc_RNA from 1 species